CCCAGACUCCUACGGGAGGCAGCAGUCGAGAAUCAUUCACAAUGGGGGAAACCCUGAUGGUGCGACGCCGCGUGGGGGAAUGAAGGUCUUCGGAUUGUAAACCCCUGUCAUGUGGGAGCAAAUUAAAAAGAUAGUACCACAAGAGGAAGAGACGGCUAACUCUGUGCCAGCAGCCGCGGUAAUACAGAGGUCUCAAGCGUUGUUCGGGAUCACUGGGCGUAAAGCGUGCGUAGGCUGUUUCGUAAGUCGUGUGUGAAAGGCGCGGGGGCAACCCGCGGACGGCACAUGAUACUGCGAGACUAGAGGAGUGGAGGGGGAACCGGAAUUCUCGGUGGAGCAGUGAAAUGCGUAGAUAUCGAGGGGAACACUCGUGGCGGAGGCGGGUUCCUGGACAUUAACUGGCGGUGAGGCGCGAAGGCCGGGGGAGCGAAAGGGAUUAGAUACCCGCGUAAUA
rnacentral:rRNA from 1 species